rnacentral:lncRNA from 1 species
AAGAAACAAGCUAACUAAGUUGCAUAAAUAUGCUCCUACCAGUGUCCCCACAUCUUGUAAGGCCUUGCUAGCAUAGUAGAUAGGUCGUUCGACAUUACCAUUAUUUCGAAUGAGAACGGAACUUACUGCUGAUGCCGAUAUCGAUAGAUAGAUAAUGAGAGUGUCACCAACCUCAGGUUUGGAGAGCAAAGGGGCUUUACUCAUCUAGUCUUUGAGGUUCUUGAAUGAUAUGGGAUACUUUUGAUGUUGACAAAGUAGUGGAUGUAUCGGCACGUAUUCUGUUACCCUUGUCUCCACAAGCUUCCUUGUAUCCUUCUCACUUGCCCUAUCUGUUGCUCAGGCAAAUGUGAUAUCUUCUCUAGAAGCAUAAGAUUUUGAAGAUGAGUACUCGAGAGCAAUGCCAGGUAAGUAAUCAGGCAAGGGGUUCCAGGCAGUCAGUUCCUGACUUGAAGCUUAAUUCCAAGUGAUGAUUGAUUGGUUUCUUUCUCCUUGUUUUGCAGGUAAGAACAAGGCCAAAUGAAAAGACAUGAAAAAAAACAUGAUAUAGGAUAGGAUACUCUUGCUUUUAACCCUGAUGAUAUGAGAUACCCUUGCUCUGGUGUGGCUUGUUUGCAGAGGUAUUAUCGGGGGGAAAAGAAGUUGAGUAUUUCGGGAGACUCUGCUGAGAGUGCCCUCUCGGAUGUGAAGAAAAGUUGAGCAUUUUUUUUUUU